UUGAGGGUACAGCUCAGUGGCAGAGUGUGUGCUUAGCAUGCACAAGGCUCUGGGUUCCAUCCCUAGCACCAAAA
rnacentral:tRNA from 1 species